AAGUUAUCAAAAAGUAUAAUUGGAAAGAUAACUAAACGAAAAAUGGUAUUUGAUGUGGUACACAGACGCUAUGGAACAUGCGUGAUUGUCUGCGACUCUAGAUUUUGCAUUUUUAACCCUUUCACUGCGCAUUUGUCGAGAGCCUUGGUUUUAUCUGUGCGCGGUUUUCCUAACGUUUGCGAAUGUCCUCGUCUGGACUAGUAUAGUGCAAUUGAUAUGUAUUUUGCGAUAAAAAAUGCGUCUAAUUUCAAGGUUUCUUGAUUUUUGCUAACGGACUUCACAUAUAGCAUAAGGGAGAGGAUAACAUAUGUAUUUCGCGUUUGUCUUUGAAUAUCCGGUAAGAUUUUAGCACGACCGAUAUGUAAACUCAUCACUUGACUGUAAGUAAUUUUAGACAUAAAACAACUAAAACUUCGAGGGUUGUCGGAAAAGUUUUUUCUAUAAAAUUUUUUUUUUCAAUAGGGUCGCCUUUUAAGUUCACACACUUUUUAAGAGAUGUUCUGACCUUUUUAACCCUUCCUUAUAAUUGUUGCCGUCUUUCUCCCCAAAAUAGGCGUUUACGUAUGCGAUAACGGCCUUUUCUGAUAAAAUCUCUAUGGUACAAGUGAAAUAGGAAAAAUUCAACGGGGGGGGGGGGGAGGGCGAUAUAUAUCUGGUGAAUACGUUGGGUGGUCAACCAAUUCGAAAUGCAAUUCGUGAUUUUGAGCCAUGGCGAUCACUGAAGUUUGAGAAGAAGCGUUCUCCGUUUUCUUGCAAUUUCUCCUUUCAGCCUAUCAUGCAAUAAUGCGUAAUACACUCCUGUUAUUGUUAUACCUUUUUCAAGAUAGUCAAUGAACAAAAUCCCAUGACUAUUCCAAAAAACGGUCGCCAUCACUUUUCCUGCCGAUGAAAUAGUCUUUGGGAGCAGGUUCACCCUUUAAAAUCAAUUGACUUGAUUAUUUUUUCUUUUCAGGAGUGUGAUGGUGGAUUUAAGUUUUAUCUACGCAUCUACAAAUGGAAAAAAAUCCGACUCAUUUUGUUUAUACCCCGUCAAUUAGGCUCAGGAAAUCCGUUCUUUAGAUACGUCGAUAUCCUCUUAUAUCUCUCUAACUUUAAUCACAUGGUCGUCCAAUAACAUUAUGAUGUAAAUGAGGUGUAGUAUCUUCGAACAUAGUGUCUAGUUCCUAUUUCAUUUAUGUAGGUGUAUUGCCUUUCAGAAACAAAUAUUUAAUGACGGGUCGAUAAUUAAGUUUCUCCAUUUCUAGAAAAUUUUCCACAACGACUCACUUAUACUAUUGUCAAACAGAAGAUGGGCGACCAAAAUGGAAGAAAUUUUACUGAGAUUUUCUCAAGGCAUGCGUAAAUAUACUUUUCAAUAUAUAUUGGGAGUUCCCAAUCUGGAUUUAAAUUGAAGGACAGUUGAGAAAGUAUUCUAAGAUCACAUUUGAUUUGUACCCAGCCUGGACUAUAUACGAAGGACCAAGGAUGAUACCUGCAAAAAUACUCAUUGAAUAAAAAAUUGUACUCGAAAAUUCUUUUGGAUUCAUAAAACCUUGUUUAUACCAAUGAGAACAAACUAAUCAGGAGUGCUGAUAAAAAGGGGAACGUUUCGCAUUUAGAAGUUAUUUUUGACGACACUUCGUGCCCCAAUUGUGUAAUUCAUUCACGGUUUAACUUUUUUAUUUCAGUGAUUUUUUUCGUAUUUCUAGUGACUUUAAGCUUAUAUUUUCCGAUUUUUUUCAAAUAAAGCUAUUUUAU